AAAUGAUAACUGAUGUAUUGGCAACUGAUUAAAACUAAAACUACUAAAAUCCAACCAGUAUUUUUUUAUUUAUUGAUUGAUGUUUUUGUAAUCAAUUCGGGGAUUUUUUUUACCGAAACCAAUAAUGUUGGAUAUCUCAGAAACUAGCCACUUUCCGCCCAAGGACCUCAGGGCUAAUUUCGUAGGAAAUUAGUUGUGUUAUCACCUCCCGAGAGGAAUACGUCGAAUUCAUAGUCAGCCUGUAUAUAACGGAGGUUAAUAAAAUUUAGUUUUGUAGAUAAUUAUGAGAAAAUUUCGAUACUUUAUCGAUAACACUGCUGCUACACUGUACAUCCCUACAAUACACGUCUGUGUUGUAUAGAUGUACUGUGUAAAUAAGACUAGUUACAUUCGUGCGGGGCAGCGUCCUGGUCCGCGCAAAUCUAACCAGUCUCAUUACGUACUGCCCGCGAUACAGACGUAUUUGACAAAAUAAAUAAAUACAUUAUUGAUUAUUCUUUGUAUUUCAAUAUUACUAACGAACGAACGAAGUUACUAGUACAACGAAGGUGGGAGAUAAUACAGUUUACGCUGUCCGUGACCAAGAUGGCUGCCACACUAGCGACGGGUCGGUGUAGCGAUUAUACUACAUUUGACAUCAUGGCGUCGUGGUUGGACGACAACUCGAGCCUUCGAACAAACCUGCAGCACCAGAUCGAGUGGAAUAAUAACUUUGUUACAUGUAGCAGCAACUGAGCAACUUAUUGUAGAUUAUUUAAAGAGUUUUUUGAUUGUCGAUACCGCAAAUAUAAUAUUAUGGCAUACUCUAAAAAAUUUUAAUUAAACACCUUGUGACAUGUCGCGGCAAUUUAUUGUAGAUUAUUUAAAGAGUUUCUUGAUUGUCGAUACCGCAGAUAUAAUAUUAUGGCAUACUCUAAAAAAUAUUAAUUAAACAACUUGUGACAUGUCGCGGCAAUUAAUUGUAGAUUAUUUAAACAGUUUCUUGAAUGGCUCUUGUGCGCCUUCAAUGUAAUAAUAUUUGAUGGUGAUGGUUUUGCAAUAAAAUUACUUUUACAUAAUAUGUGUAGUAUCAUUUUCAAACAACGUCACACCUUUUAUAUCCGAAGGGCUAGGCAGAUCUCUGCCUUUACCUGUGCAUCUGCACAUUACACCAUGUAAUGCCGCUAUACAAUGCACACUUUUCACCGUAAUAGGGGGUGAGCCAAUUGCCAUAUACUGGACAUUUUGUAGAUCAUUGCCGGCAGUCGCACUUGCGACCACUCGAUCAACGAGGCAGUCGUUCAGUUUCGCCUUUGGCGAAAUGAGGAUAAAUAAAUAGAUUUUGAUAUGGAAUUAAAAAUAAAACUUUAUUAUAAGUAAUUUUAUUAGUAAAUCAAUAAAACCUACGGCUGAACAUUAAACGAGAAACUUCGCAUUCGAGAACCGGAGUAGGCCCGAAAGUAGUAGUAUCGAAACUUCCGUGUCCGAUAAGCACCUGCGUCAGGCGGUAGGUGAGGACACCGUGACGUCGCUCAAGCCACUCCUCAAAGAGGGGACUUACCGCUGCUAUUACAGCGAGGCCAACUUUGGCACUCCCUAAG